ensembl:lncRNA LINC01905 long intergenic non-protein coding RNA 1905
GUACAUCCCAGCCUUCUUGCACAUAGAAACACUACACAGCACUUCAGCUGUAUGUUUGGGGGCCAUUUUAAACAGCAAAAUCAUCAACAGGAAGCAGAAAAUUGUAAAAAUUGUGGCACUAAAUAGACCAUGUAAAGGACACAUGUUUGCAAUAAGAAAGCUGAAACAAGAAGGGGGAGUGUCACCUUAUUUGAUCCAGCUAGAAACUCAGGUGCUGGUAUUCCAGCAACACUCAGGCGGCUGCUCCAGGAGGCUGCAGAGGGGUCCUUUUUAGCCGUCAACAAAACUGGCUAUGGUCACGCCCAUUGGGAAACUCAUUGCUGCCUUCAAGCUCUUAGGUGGAAGUUAAAGUCAUCACAGUUCUUUCAUGAAAGGAGAAAACUUCUACAUAGAAGAUGAGAAGCUUCUUUGGGGCAGAGACUAUAGACUCAGAAGCUGUAGGAAUAUUCAGGCACAGACACCAGACCCAGCUUCAUCUCUAACUUGUGGCAAAGGACAGUACAUCCUGGGAUGGGACCCUAUGCUCCCCUAUGCCAUUUAGACAGAGCCUGGGGAGAGUGACUUCCCAGGGUAUCCAUGUUGGAAUCUCUCAUUUGAUUCUUAUUCAAAUUUAGGUUCUGUCAAUAGAAGAUACUAAAGAAAGAAAGCCAGGAGAAGAAAAGGGACUUCUUUCUUCAAGGUCUAAGCUGUUCUAAUAGCAUUAUUCUGGGAAUGGCAUCUUCCACUCCUCCUAGUACAAAGAACCUGCUUCCUCAUACCCCGUCAAGGAACUGCAGCAUCCAGGUACUUUCUCUGCCUCAAAGGUCUGCAUCCCAUUCUCCAUUUGGCCCCUCCUUUGAACUACCAGAUCUCCGGCUGGAUUGCCUUUUUGUUCUGGAAUUUUCUAAAUUUCUUUAUUAAAUUUCCCAGUUGAAAUUC